rnacentral:lncRNA from 1 species
UUUACCUGUAUGGUCUUUCUCACGUGACUUUUUCUAUCCUAUCACCUUUCAGGUUACAGGUAACGUUUUGAAAAGAGGGAAACAGACAAAACUAAAAAACGCCAUUUUUGUAGGGAUCUCUUUAAAUUCUUAGUAUAACUAAUUAAAUUGGAAAUAUAUUAUCAGAUACAGUAAUGGUAAAUAUAAAAGGGAGCCUUCACCUGUUCACAGAACUCUGGCCGCGAAAUCAGAUUACGAGGUUCGUUACCCACUCGACUGCAUCCACACAGGCGUACACUGUCGGCUGCGUGAGACGAUCCAUAGAAAUGUAAAAGAUAACGGUAAACUUCACCUAUUCGCAGAAUUCUUGUCGUGAAAUCAGAUUAAGAGGUUCGAUACCCACGCGAUUACAUCCACAUAGGCAUAGGCAUACACUGUCGGCUGCAUGAGACGAUCCAUAGAAUUCUCGUAUGACGAUAGUUCCAUACAGGAUGUAGGUCGGUCCUAUUGUGAAAGGUAGGUGUUGUUUCCAUAUUUAACGUUCAGAAGGUAGCACACACAGACACAGGGAGCGGACAAGCCAGGUAAGCAGACCUGAACCCUAUGAACCUUUCUUGUAGUAAUUUAACAAACUGGCCUGAAAUAAUAUAUAUGAACUGAAAUGAUACCUCUUAGUUCUCUAUUGUGAGUAGUUCAAUGACAUUUUCCUAAUAAAAAUUUUCCUAUUUUUCAAAUAUCAUU